AGGAAUCUGCCUAUUAGUGGGGGACAACAUUCCGAAAGGAAUGCUAAUACCGCAUACGUCCUACGGGAGAAAGCAGGGGAUCUUCGGACCUUGCGCUAAUAGAUGAGCCUAAGUCGGAUUAGCUAGUUGGUGGGGUAAAGGCCUACCAAGGCGACGAUCUGUAGCGGGUCUGAGAGGAUGAUCCGCCACACUGGGACUGAGACACGGCCCAGACUCCUACGGGAGGCAGCAGUGGGGAAUAUUGGACAAUGGGGGGAACCCUGAUCCAGCCAUGCCGCGUGUGUGAAGAAGGCCUUAUGGUUGUAAAGCACUUUAAGCGAGGAGGAGGCUACUGAGACUAAUACUCUUGGAUAGUGGACGUUACUCGCAGAAUAAGCACCGGCUAACUCUGUGCCAGCAGCCGCGGUAAUACAGAGGGUGCGAGCGUUAAUCGGAUUUACUGGGCGUAAAGCGUGCGUAGGCGGCUUUUUAAGUCGGAUGUGAAAUCCCCGAGCUUAACUUGGGAAUUGCAUUCGAUACUGGGAAGCUAGAGUAUGGGAGAGGAUGGUAGAAUUCCAGGU
rnacentral:rRNA from 1 species